UUUCAUUCGUGUGUGCUUGUAAAUAAUUAGACAAAUAUAGAUAUAAGCAUACAUUUUAUAUCUGAAUAUAUAUUACAACAAAAAAUUUCUGCACUGUCAUGGUAUUAGCUGUCAGAAAUGAAAGUAGAAAAAUUCAAACAAGGAAUGUUACUGCUGGUUUGAGUUGAAAUCUGUUUCUUUGGCUACUGACUGGCCGGAGCUAUCUGUCUAUCUCUUUCUCUCUCUCUAUCUAUCUAUCACUCGUCCACCUUCGUUUGUUUCCGUAGAAUUUAUCAAAUUAGAAAAUGCAUUUCCGUAGAAUUUAUCAAAUUAUAAAAUGCGUUUCCGUAGAAUUUAAACAAAUGAAAUUCAGUUUAAACUUUAUAAAUAAAUAUAUUUCAUUUCAUGUUCAGUUUAAACUUUAUAAAUAAAUAUAUUUUUGCAUUAUUCAUUAUUGUUUUUAAAAACAAAUUACAUACACCAAUCAGCACCACCACGCGUAAUCCAAAGCUGGAAUUACUCACCGCGAUAUUGCCAUCGCUACAACAGAAAAUAGUAUUAAUUGGCUUAAGAGACAUGGACUUUAAAUACCCCAAAAAUAUGCUCCUCGUGUGGAGCUAGCAUGAUGGAAGUAGCCAAAAAGUUUUUUUUUUCUAAUUUGAUAAAUUCUACGGAAACAAACGAAGGUGGACGAGUGAUAGAUAGCUAGAUAGCUCCGGCCAGUCAGUAGCCAAAGAAACAGAUUUCAACUCAAACCAGCAGUAACAUUCAUUGUUUAGAUUUUUCUACUUUUGCUUCUGACAGUGCCAAAAUUUCGCCUAGAUUUAAAAGAUUCAAUUUACAUGUGAACAAAUGUGAUUUCAUCGUAAACUUCUUCCGCUAUUAAAACAAAUCAAACAGCCACGUCAAAUUUGAAUUCAAUCGAAGAAAAAGAAGACAAAUAAUUAACGUUUCGUUUCUUCUCUACCGAAGAGCUCUGCCUGAAACAGCAGAAGGUUUCAUUUCUGCAUGGAAUGCAAACUUUUUUCGUUAUCUGUGUUGAUUUUCUUUCCCUACAGGCGUCGAAGUUAACUAGGUCAGUGCCCUUGAAAUGAACCAAUCGGAAAUGAUAUUGAACGUCAAAAAAUUUUUUUAUUUCGUUUUAAACUUAUUGAAAAGAAACUUGUAGAUAAUAGAUGUUGAAUUGUAUUGUAAAUAAAUUUCUGCUUAGAAAAGUAUUAGUAAAAAGUUUGUCCUCAAUAUGAA